rnacentral:rRNA from 1 species
GACGAACGCUGGCGGCGUGCUUAACACAUGCAAGUCGAGCGAUGAAGUUCCUUCGGGAAUGGAUUAGCGGCGGACGGGUGAGUAACACGUGGGUAACCUGCCUCAUAGAGGGGAAUAGCCUUUCGAAAGGAAGAUUAAUACCGCAUAAGAUUGUGGCACCGCAUGGUGCAGCAAUUAAAGGAGUAAUCCGCUAUGAGAUGGACCCGCGUCGCAUUAGCUAGUUGGUGAGGUAACGGCUCACCAAGGCGACGAUGCGUAGCCGACCUGAGGGGGUGAUCGGCCACAUUGGGACUGAGACACGGCCCAGACUCCUACGGGAGGCAGCAGUGGGGAAUAUUGCACAAUGGGGGAAACCCUGAUGCAGCAACGCCGCGUGAGUGAUGACGGUCUUCGGAUUGUAAAACUCUGUCUUCAGGGACGAUAAUGACGGUACCUGAGGAGGAAGCCACGGCUAACUACGUGCCAGCCGCCGCAGUAA